UACGGGGGGAGCAAGCGUUGUUCGGAUUUACUGGGCGUAAAGAGCGUGUAGGCGGCUAGGUAGGUCCGUUGUGAAAACUCGAGCUCAACCUCGAGACGCCGGUGGAAACCAUCUAGCUAGAGUCCGGAAGAGGAGAGUGGAAUUCCUGGUGUAGCGGUGAAAUGCGCAGAUAUCAGGAAGAACACCCGUGGCGAAGGCGGCUCUCUGGGACGUGACUGACGCUGAGACGCGAAAGCGUGGGGAGCGAACAGG
rnacentral:rRNA from 1 species